rfam:Stegodyphus mimosarum contig11678, whole genome shotgun sequence.
GCCUUCGUGGUGUAGUGGUCAGCACGCUCGGCGCGUAUUCGAGAGAUCCGUGGUUCGAGUCCCGGCGAGGGCA